rnacentral:rRNA from 1 species
AUACGUAGGGGGCAAGCGUUAUCCGGAAUUAUUGGGCGUAAAGAGUACGUAGGUGGUAUUUUAAGCGCAGGGUUUAAGGCAAUGGCUCAACUAUUGUUCGCCCUGUGAACUGGAACACUUGAGUGCAGGAGGGGAAAGCGGAAUUCCUAGUGUAGCGGUGAAAUGCGUAGAUAUUAGGAGGAACACCGGUGGCGAAGGCGGCUUUCUGGACUGUAACUGACACUGAGGUACGAAAGCGUGGGUAGCAAACAGGAUUAGAUACCCUGGUAGUCCACGCCGUAAACGAUGAGCACUAGGUGUCGGGGUCGCAAGACUUCGGUGCCGCAGUUAACGCAAUAAGUGCUCCGCCUGGGGAGUACGGCCGCAAGGCUAAAACUCAAAUGAAUUGACGGGG